CAGUCGCCGCGGGAAUACGGAGGGUGCAAGCGUUAAUCGGAAUUACUGGGCGUAAAGCGCACGCAGGCGGUUUGUUAAGUCAGAUGUGAAAUCCCCGGGCUCAACCUGGGAACUGCAUUUGAAACUGGCAAGCUAGAGUCUCGUAGAGGGGGGUAGAAUUCCAGGUGUAGCGGUGAAAUGCGUAGAGAUCUGGAGGAAUACCGGUGGCGAAGGCGGCCCCCUGGACGAAGACUGACGCUCAGGUGCGAAAGCGUGGGGAGCAAACAGGAUUAGAUACCCCAGUAGUCCCUGUCUCUUAUAC
rnacentral:rRNA from 1 species